CCGCCUUCAAGAUUAUAGAAAAUCAAUUAUUCUAUGAAAAAGAAAGAAAAGUUAUACUGACAGAACAUGAACAAAAAAAAUAAUUAAAACAAUGCAUGAGGGGGGUGUAUCUACAGUUGCAGGUAUUGCUAUGGGAGGGCAUCUGGGGAUUAAUAAAACUAAUCAAAUAAUAGCUGAAAACUUUUAUUGGUUGGGGAGCAAUAAAAGUGUUAGAGAGUUUAUCAAAUUCUGUGAGGUUUGUCAAAAAUCAAGCAGUCGUUUUGAUAAAACCUCAAAUGUUUUGCACAAUAAUAAAGUUGUG